rnacentral:rRNA from 1 species
AACGAACGCUGGCGGCAUGCCUAACACAUGCAAGUCGAACGAGACCUUCGGGUCUAGUGGCGCAUGGGUGCGUAACGCGUGGGAAUCUGCCCUUCGGUUGGGAAUAACUGAGAGAAUUUUCAGCUAAUACCUUAUCAUGUCUUCGGACCAAAGAUUUAUCGCCGCGGGAUGAGCCCGCGUAGGAUUAGGUAGUUGGUGGGGUAAUGGCCUACCAAGCCGACGAUCCUUAGCUGGUCUGAGAGGAUGGUCAGCCACACUGGGACUGAGACACGGCCCAGAAUCCUACGGGAGGGGGCAGAGGGGAAUAGUGGACAGUGGGCGGAGGCAUGAACCUGCAAGGCCGGGAAAGUUAUGAAGUCCGUGGGGUAGAAAAGCGCUUGUACCCGGGAUGAUAAUGACGGUACCGAGAGAAAAAGCUCCGGCUAACUCCGUG